UACGUAGGGUGCGAGCGUUAAUCGGAAUUACUGGGCGUAAAGGGCGCGUAGGCGGCUUGGUCAGUCCCGUGUGAAAUCCCUCGGCUCAACUGAGGAACUGCACGGGAAACUGCCUGGCUUGAGUUCGGGAGAGGGAAGCGGAAUUCCGGGUGUAGCGGUGAAAUGCGUAGAUAUCCGGAGGAACACCGGUGGCGAAGGCGGCUUCCUGGACCGACACUGACGCUGAGGCGCGAAAGCUAGGGGAGCAAACGGG
rnacentral:rRNA from 1 species